GACGAACGCUGGCGGCGUGCCUAAUACAUGCAAGUAGAACGCACAGUUUAUACCGUAGCUUGCUACACCAUAGACUGUGAGUUGCGAACGGGUGAGUAACGCGUAGGUAACCUGCCUGGUAGCGGGGGAUAACUAUUGGAAACGAUAGCUAAUACCGCAUAAUAUUAAUUAUUGCAUGAUAAUUGAUUGAAAGAUGCAACUGCAUCACUACCAGAUGGACCUGCGUUGUAUUAGCUAGUAGGUGAGGUAACGGCUCACCUAGGCGACGAUACAUAGCCGACCUGAGAGGGUGAUCGGCCACACUGGGACUGAGACACGGCCCAGACUCCUACGGGAGGCAGCAGUAGGGAAUCUUCGGCAAUGGACGAAAGUCUGACCGAGCAACGCCGCGGGAGUGAAGAAGGGUUUCGGAUCGUAAAGCUCUGUUGUAAGAGAAGAACGGGUGUGAGAGUGGAAAGUUCACACUGUGACGGUAUCUUACCAGAAAGGGACGGCUAACUACGUG
rnacentral:rRNA from 1 species